ACUGGGGUGAAGUCGUAACAAGGUAGCGCUAGGGGAACCUGGCGCUGGAUCACCUCCUUAUACGAUGAUUACUCACGAUGAGUGUCCACACAGAUUGAUGGUUU
rnacentral:rRNA from 1 species